UAUCAACAGCUUGAUCAAUUCCAGAUCAUAUUCUGUUCUUUGUUUUUGUUAACAUCUGAUAAGUUGUCAUUGAAUUCAACUUAUCCUUUAUUGCUUUUUGUUGAUUUGUGAGGACGCUAAUUUAUGGGAGAUAAUGCAUGUAGCUGUAAAUAGUUAUGCAUGUUCUGAAGUCGUAAACAUAUCCUGAUGAAUAGGCAACCAUAUUUGUAUAUGGCUCCAAGUAUUGCACAUGCAGAAUUGUAUGCUUCAAUUGAAAGAAAGGAAGCAAAACCAAUUAAGUUUACAGUUAGAAUAGUGCUCGGCUCAUAUGCAACUUAUAGAUGGACUCGGAUCCUGUUGAGGUGAUCAUUGAACCAUAGGAAGCUUUAUAUGCACUUUGCUGCAGUGCAUAUAGCUUUGAAAAACUUGUUAUGUACAUGGUUGAAUUCAAAAUAUUGUUUGUUCUGAAGGGUGCACUUGAGAAGUUAUUAGUGCUAGGUACAGGGAAGCUGGCAUUGAACUAAUAUGUAUCACACGAUUUGAUGACUCCUGUUUAAAUCUUGAGGCAUUCUGUAAAUUAUUUAGCUGGUUGUUUGGGUGCUGAGAACAAUUGAUGGGGACGAAUAAUCAGAUAUUGAAAGCCUUUAAGCUGUGACACACUGGACUGAUCACCAAAGAUAUUUUCAAGUCAUACUAGAUGUGGUGGAGGAAGAUUUACAAGAGACAGGACAAGAGGUGCAUCAGGAUACAGGAAAUUGGUAAGAUCAAAUUCUUUGAAGUAUUCUGUGUUUAACAGUUCUUGGUAAAAUAUAAGUUGCAAUUAGUUUGACUGCUGGUAUUUUCUUUACUACCUAAAAUGUGUUAGAGACAUGAAGAAAAAAUUGAUGUAUGAUUUUGAAAAGUUGAAUUUAUGACUACAGGAAUCAUUAUUACACUUCCUAAAGUCGUUGAACAAUGAAAUACUUACUUUUCAGCUAGAGGGUUACAGCUUUAUAUUCGAUCAUUUUGGUACUUAUCAACGACAGCAAUCAACUCAUAACAGCUAGGUUAGAGCUAGAAUUGUUUUGAUUUAUGACCAUUUUGAAACAUGUCAGUAGUCAAUACAAUGCUGCAUGGGCAUAGACAAUAGAGCUGGACUUGAAUGCUUAUCCGAGCAUUAGUAAUGGCCAGAUGUGAAAAAAUCAGAGAUAAGGGACAAGCAAAAACUUAUGUUAACAACUAAUGUUUAAAUUUUUUUAGUAUCGUGGAGUUUGAAAAUUUUAAUUAUAUAGUAUUUGGUAAGGUGUUUGUAUACAUAUCGUGCAAGUUGCAGAGAUGAUAAAAAAUGAUGCUACUCAAUCCAUAAGGGUCAAAAAGGUUGCUGGUUGGAAUCUAUUUUUAAAAUAAAUAGUUUGAAUUAUUUGUCAUUUUUUAUAUCAAAUCUUCUUAUAAUAGUUUUUAUGUAUCUCAGUAUCUGUACCCUUAAUCUUAUAGUCUAUGUCCAGUAUUUGAUAAACAUAUGCAAGGUAUGCUACAUGGUAUUAUCUUUAUAUAUGGUUUCCCAGUAAUAUAUUUUCAAUCACAAUUUUUGUCUCUAUUGUCUUAUAGCAUGCGUCACGUUUACUUGGUAAGUUAGGAAACCACAAUGCAUCAUCAUGGUUGCAACUAAAACUGUUAAAACAUGGAAGUAUUUCAUAUAGACUCCGAGAUACGUCUCUUCUUUGCAUUGGAUAACCUUGUACACUUGAAAUUUGCAUGUAUACUCAUGCAUUACUACUUGAUGCAACUAUACCCCUACUAUUAGUGGCAGCAGAGGCUGUAAUGUCUGGAAGAUGGUGGUCUUUGUUCAGCAGUAGCUGGGUAGUGAAUUAGGACUACUCAUUUUUCCUUGACGAAAGCAUCUUCAUGACUUCAUUCCAUAGUUUGACAUAUUAAACAAUGAUGACUGUACUUAUCCCAGUGCAUCUUGCAUCUGUGUUACAAAGUCAGUCUAUCAUAAUAAUGCAAAACCUCUCUUUGAGUUUAUAUCAAUCAGGAUGUGUUGGCUAAAUUUGCCUUAGUACUACAGCAUCUUUUGACUUAAUUUGGGAGCAUCUGAGGGUUAUUCAUUGAUGUCUCUGCAUUUUGCUUAAGGACCUUGGUGCCUAUUUUGAUAUCGCUCCUCGUUUGGGGGCAUAGAAGAAUUAGCAAACCUUUCAAACCUCGAUAUUGAUCACAUCAUACUCCUUCAGCUUCAAGCACUGGCCUAACAUUCUUCUAUUGAAAGAUUAAAGUUUCAUGCAACUGCUGAAGGAUGCCAGUGAACUGGCAAAAUAACUGUCUCAUAUCAAGAAGCAGUAGCUGUAUGUUUUUCGUGUCUAAUGGAGAUGUUAAAGGGUAUAGUAUGUGCCCUAAUAUAACAUAUAACCAGGGAAUAGUGUUUCAUUCUAUUAAUCAUUUUGUUUGUUGAAUUUCAAUUUUGCUAUGAACUUCUACAGGCUUGAUAGACUGGUUUUGUGUAAGAUUUCUCUUGAUUUAAAUAAUAGAUUUGGUCAGAUUUUUGUGGUGAUGAAGCUCAUUGGCAAAGAAUAUUAUUGUGUUUCAAUUAAGGAGCCUCCUAGCUCUCUGGAUGCAGGGUCUAUCUGGUAAUGCAAGAAUGUAGGAUACGCAGGACUUCCGUGUGGAUAAGAUAUCUGGCUAAGAUUGCAAAUUUAGGUCAUGUCUCCUGCAAAAUCCUGACAAUUUUUCCUGGGAAGCCUAAUCUGGCAGGUAAGUCUCAAUCUUUCCUCCAGAAUCUGACAGUGGAGCAAAAAUAAAGUUACACAUUGUCUAUGUAAUUUUUUUGUUUGGAGUGUGUGUUAUUUGAACAAUUCUCUUCUUGUAAUUUAUUCAUUUAGUGUAAAGCUGCUGCUUCAUUUUAUUAUAUCCAUUUUGGCUUGCUUGUUUGUGGUAACAAGGCAAUGCAGGUUGAGACAACACAGAUUCAAAGCCUCUCAGCACUGAAUCACAUUGGCUUGAACAGGCACAAGAACCGAAUAUUUUGCCGCCACCUAUGCUGUAGACCGAGCUGGUGCCACACUUGGUCAAGGAAGUUGGAAGAUUUAGUGAGAAAUGAUACCCUACACAGCAUGCACCAAUAUGGUUGUGCACCACGCCAAUCACCCACAUCCUUCUUAUGGGCUCCAUUCAUCAUGCGCUCCUCUCAGUAAUUGGCCCAGAGGAAGAAGAUGUGGUGAUUGACAUGGUGCAUGGCCAUGUGGUGCAUAUGGUAUAUGAUAUAAUUUCUUGGAUUUACUAAAAGAGUCUCAUAUAAAUCUCCUCUCUCUCUCUCUCUCUCUGCGCGCGCACGGAGAUUUGGAAAUCUACUGGUCAGCUGAUGGUAUGAAGAUGGCAUUUCAGUUAGGUAUUGUUCUUGGAUGAGCUGAUGUAGCAAAAUAUGGUAGCGCCAUAUUAACUGCCUGCAUGGUAUUUUGGUUUAGAGCAAGGCCUUCUGCCCAAAAAAAAUAAAAAAAAGGCUAAUCCUGAUUAUUGGGCACAGAAGGAUUUUGAGCUAACAAAUGCUGGGUUAGGGAGUCUAUAUUCAACCUAUCCCAUGGUAAGAGAAAUUUUCUCUUACAAAUUGUAUCAAAAUUUUCUUAUGUCACAUGGUAAGAGAAAUUUUUAUGUGCACAAAACAUUACCCAGCAUUUCCCCAGUUAAUUUCAUGCACUCCCUCUCAGGAUGCCUGGAUAA